rnacentral:rRNA from 1 species
GAGCGGUAACAGGUGUAGCAAUACAUGCUGACGAGCGGCGAACGGGUGAGUAAUGCUUCGGAAUCUGCCCAAUGGUGGGGAAUAACCAGCCGAAAGGUUGGCUAAUACCGCAUAAGUCCUACGGGGGAAAGCAGGGGAUCGUAAGACCUUGCGCCGAUGGAUGAGCCGAAGUCGGAUUAGCUAGUUGGUAGGGUAACGGCCUACCAAGGCGACGAUCCGUAGCUGGUCUGAGAGGACGACCAGCCACACUGGGACUGAGACACGGCCCAGACUCCUACGGGAGGCAGCAGUGGGGAAUAUUGGACAAUGGGGGAAACCCUGAUCCAGCGACGCCGCGUGUGUGAAGAAGGCCUGCGGGUUGUAAAGCACUUUUAGUGGGGAUGAAAAGCUCAGGGCUAACACCUCUGGGUCUUGACCUAACCCACAGAAAAAGCACCGGCUAACUCUGUG